GGCACUUUGCAGGGAGAAGCCAAAAAAGCCACCCCAAACGCCCAGGCAGAUUCCUUGUUUGCCUCGUGUCCUGGGGGGCUCAAGAGCUGGCCACUUUUGAGCCCUCCCCCAGGCGGGCGGCGGGCAGUGAGGGAGCAUGCUCACCUGAGAUCUUCCUGCUCAGCACCCUUGCACGACGCUUAAUGAAGCCAGGAGCCGGAAUAUGACUUCACUCCGGCACACAGCAUCACAAAGCAGCGCACGAGGGAGCUAAGCAGGAAAAUCAGAGCUCCC